rnacentral:misc_RNA from 1 species
AGAUCUUGAUUCUUGAAUCCCUUCGCAUAUAUAUUGGCAAGAAUCCCUUUGAAGAAGAAGUUCUCAAGCGAUAAUUGACAGAAAACCUCAGAAAAUGUUACAGAAUAGGAUUCUGGGCAUGAUCACCUAGCUAGGUUUUAAAAGUUUACCAGUUACCAAAAUAUUUAUAUAAAGGAAUUGCUAAUAUCAUCUGCUAAUCCACCGGAA